CCUACGGGAGGCAGCAGUGGGGAAUAUUGGACAAUGGGGGGAACCCUGAUCCAGCCAUGCCGCGUGUGUGAAGAAGGCCCUCGGGUUGCAAAGCACUUUCAGUGAGGAAGAACGCCUGGUGGUUAAUACCCAUCAGGAAAGACAUCACUCACAGAAGAAGCACCGGCUAACUCCGUGCCAGCAGCCGCGGUAAUACGGAGGGUGCGAGCGUUAAUCGGAAUUACUGGGCGUAAAGCGCGCGUAGGUGGCUUGAUAAGCCGGUUGUGAAAGCCCCGGGCUCAACCUGGGAACGGCAUCCGGAACUGUCAAGCUAGAGUGCAGGAGAGGAAGGUAGAAUUCCCGGUGUAGCGGUGAAAUGCGUAGAGAUCGGGAGGAAUACCAGUGGCGAAGGCGGCCUUCUGGACUGACACUGACACUGAGGUGCGAAAGCGUGGGUAGCAAACAGGAUUAGAUACCCUAGUAGUC
rnacentral:rRNA from 1 species